GGCUGUAACCCAGUGGCAAAGUACAUGCUUCACAUGCAUGAGGCCCUGGGUUCAAUCCCUGGCACCA
rnacentral:tRNA from 1 species